rfam:Eucalyptus grandis cultivar BRASTZ1 unplaced genomic scaffold scaffold_2, whole genome shotgun sequence.
GGAUAGAGCCAAGUCAAUCAAGGCAGUGGACUGUGAAUCCACCGGGCGAAGGGAAAACUAGCAGGAAUCCUUCUCGAUCCA